UGCCAGCAGCCGCGGUAAUNNGGAGGGUNNNGCNUNNUNGGAAUNACUGGGCGUAAAGCGCACGCNGGCGGUUGAUUGANUNAGAUGUGAANUCCCCGGGCUUAACCCGGGAANUGCNUNUGAUACUGNUNAGCNAGANUNNNUAGAGGGGGGUAGAAUUCCAUGUGNAGCGGUGAANUGCGUAGAGAUGUGGAGGAAUACCGGUGGCGAAGGCGGCCCCCNGGACAAAGACUGACGCUCAGGUGCGAAAGCGUGGGGAGCAAACAGGAUNAGAUACCNUGGUAGUCCACGCUGUNAACGAUGUCGACUNGGAGGUUGUGCCCNUGAGGCGUGGCUUCCGGAGCUAACGCGUUAAGUCGACCGCCUGGGGAGUACGGCCGCAAGGUUAAAACUCAAAUGAAUUGACGGGGGCCCGCACAAGCGGUGGAGCAUGUGGUUUAAUUCGAUGCAACGCGAAGAACCUUACCUACUCUUGACAUCCAGAGAACUUNNCAGAGAUGSWUUGGUGCCUUCGGGAACUCUGAGACAGGUGCUGCAUGGCUGUCGUCAGCUCGUGUUGUGAAAUGUUGGGUUAAGUCCCGCAACGAGCGCAACCCUUAUCCUUUGUUGCCAGCGMGURAUGKCGGGAACUCAAAGGAGACUGCCGGUGAUAAACCGGAGGAAGGUGGGGAUGACGUCAAGUCAUCAUGGCCCUUACGAGUAGGGCUACACACGUGCUACAAUGGCGUAUACAAAGGGAAGCGACCCCGCGAGGGCAAGCGGAACUCAUAAAGUACGUCGUAGUCCGGAUUGGAGUCUGCAACUCGACUCCAUGAAGUCGGAAUCGCUAGUAAUCGUAGAUCAGAAUGCUACGGUGAAUACGUUCCCGGGCCUUGUACACACCGCCCGUCACACCAUGGGAGUGGGUUGCAAAAGAAGUAGGUAGCUUAACNNCCNGGAGGGCGCUUA
rnacentral:rRNA from 1 species